GUCAUUGUUGUCUGUCUCUACAUGCUUUAUUUUUCCAUCAGAUGCAGUGCCAGUGUUGAGAGCUUCCAGCAGAAAAUUGAAAUUGGUUGAUGGGAAACCGAGUUGAUCUGCUCAGCGGAGAAGAUAUGUCAUCGGAUAGAAUUAAAGAGGAUGACGAAUUAAAGAG